rnacentral:rRNA from 1 species
UACGUAGGGGGGCUAGCGUUGUCCGGAAUCAUUGGGCGUAAAGCGCGUGUAGGCGGCCCGGUAAGUCCGCUGUGAAAGUCGGGGGGCUCAACCCUCGAAUGCCGGUGGAUACUGUCGGGCUAGAGUGCGGAAGAGGCGAGUGGAAUUCCCGGUGUAGCGGUGAAAUGCGCAGAUAUCGGGAGGAACACCUAUGGCGAAGGCAGCU